AUUUUUUUAAUAUAAAUAAGUAUAUUUGACUUCCAAUCAAAAAGCCUAGAAAUUACUAGAAAAAAUA
rnacentral:tRNA from 1 species